CAUUAGAUGACUGAAAGUAAGUAGUGGUCUCUUAAACCAUAUAAUAAUAGUUUAACGUCUAUUUCUAAUG
rnacentral:tRNA from 1 species